rnacentral:misc_RNA from 1 species
CCAAUCUCUCUCCACAGACUUCACACCAGGAGCUCGUCUGAGGAUUUCUGCCUGCUCAUGUGAAAUAUGAGCUGCGAAGCCAUUAAUUAGAUGACGGUAGCUGUAGAUUUUCUUGUAGGUCCCACGGUCAAAUAGCAAAGCUAGAAGCAUAUCAUGCUUCUUUUCCAAAUGCUGGGCAUAGGAUGUAACUGAUUCACUAGUGGUAUCAAUUUUUUCAUCAGACUCUGCAGCAGUGGCUUCAAAACCAUCAAUGCCACCUUUAUAGCUUAUGACAGGCUCUCCUUCAACUGUC